rnacentral:rRNA from 1 species
CCUACGGGAGGCAGCAGUGGGGAAUAUUGCACAAUGGGCGCAAGCCUGAUGCAGCCAUGCCGCGUGUGUGAAGAAGGCCCUCGGGUUGUAAAGCACUUUCAGUCAGGAGGAAAGGUAAGUAGUUAAUACCUGCUAGCUGUGACGUUACUGACAGAAGAAGCACCGGCUAACUCCGUGCCAGCAGCCGCGGUAAU